rnacentral:rRNA from 1 species
UACGUAGGGGGCAAGCGUUGUCCGGAAUCAUUGGGCGUAAAGCGCGCGUAGGCGGCCCGGUAAGUCCGUUGUGAAAGUCAAAGGCUCAACCUUUGAACGCCGAUGGAUACUGCCGGGCUAGAGUCCGGAAGAGGAGAGUGGAAUUCCCGGUGUAGCGGUGAAAUGCGCAGAUAUCGGGAAGAACACCCGUGGCGAAGGCGGCUCUCUGGGACGGUACUGACGCUGAGACGCGAAAGCGUGGGAGCGAACAGG